rnacentral:tRNA from 1 species
GCCUUAAUAGUUUAAGAAAAAUAUUAAUUUGUGAUAUUAAAGAUAAAAAGGCC